AAUGGGGGAAACCCUGAUGCAGCGACGCCGCGUGAACGAUGAAGCCCUUCGGGGUGUAAAGUUCUUUCGACGGGGACGAUAAUGACGGUACCCGGAGAAGAAGCUGCGGCUAACUACGUGCCAGCAGCCGCGGUAAUACGUAGGCAGCAAGCGUUGUUCGGAAUUACUGGGCGUAAAGAGUGCGUAGGCGGUUAACUAAGUUUGGUGUGAAAUCUCCCGGCUUAACUGGGAGGGUGCGCCGAAAACUGGCUAGCUAGAGUGUGGGAGAGGAUAGUGGAAUUCCUGGUGUAGCGGUGAAAUGCGUAGAUAUCAGGAGGAACACCUGCGGUGUAGACGGCUAUCUGGACCAUGACUGACGCUGAGGCACGAAAGCGUGGGUAGCAAA
rnacentral:rRNA from 1 species